UCACCAGACUCCUACGGGAGGCAGCAGUGGGGAAUAUUGCACAAUGGGGGAAACCCUGAUGCAGCGACGCCGCGUGAGUGAAGAAGUAAUUCGUUAUGUAAAGCUCUAUCAGCAGGGAAGAAAAUGACGGUACCUGAGUAAGAAGCCCCGGCUAACUACGUGCCAGCAGCCGCGGUAAUACGUAGGGGGCAAGCGUUAUCCGGAUUUACUGGGUGUAAAGGGGGCGCAGACGGCAAUGCAAGCCAGGAGUGAAAGCCCGGGGCCCAACCCCGGGACUGCUCUUGGAACUGCAUGGCUGGAGUACAGGAGGGGCAGGCGGAAUUCCUAGUGUAGCGGUGAAAUGCGUAGAUAUUAGGAGGAACACCGGUGGCGAAGGCGGCCUGCUGGACUGUGACUGACGUUGAGGCCCGAAGGCGUGGGGAGCAAACAGGAUUAGAUACCCUUGUA
rnacentral:rRNA from 1 species